AUCUUGAUCCUUGUAAUCACUAGUAGACGUGAUAAUGGUUGCAGCUGACAUCAUUCUGGGCCCAUAUGCUUUCACUUGUAGAAAUUGCUGCUGAAUGGAAGUGUACUUUAAGCUGAAUAUUGUUAAAUACUCGUUGGAAGGCUCGUGAGAAGUUUAUAUCAUUGAGGAAAGGUACAAAGUCGGAUGUUGUUGUUGUCUUAGAAGAGGUAUUGUCCUAUUUUCAACUGAGAGGCCUUUUUCUAAUCCUGACUCAUAGAAAAUCUGACAUUUUGUUUUUGGUAUUUCAUUUGUCAGCUUAAUUCCUUAAGAUAGAAAUAUUAAUUUAGUAAUAAGCAUAUUUCAAGACCUCCACAUUGCAAGAUCUUCAUUCGAGCAGGCUCGCUUCAAUCUGGUCACAGUUCUUUCUAAUGUCGAGGCCAAGAUGAGGUUUGAGUUUUUGGAAGCUGUUAAUGGGGCAAUGGAUGCUCACCUUAUUCGUUAUUUCAAACAAGGAUAUGAGCUAUUGCAUCAGAUGGAGCCAUAUGUCCACCAGAAUGCUGGGUCGCUUGGUGCUUUUGCUAGAUUUUCUAUUGCUAUAGUUUUUACCUGGAAGUCGUUGAGGUCUUCCAAUACACUGCGAAGAAGGCAA